UGCCUAUAACAUAGUGUUAAUACACCAUAUCCCAUUAGAACUCUGCAGUUAAAAAUAGUCAGGCUAGAGUAGUAAUGGGAUGGGUGACCGCUCGGGAAGUCCUAGUGUUUUACAUAC
rnacentral:rRNA from 1 species